UACGUAGGGUGCAAGCGUUAAUCGGAAUUACUGGGCGUAAAGCGUGCGCAGGCGGUUAUGCAAGACAGAUGUGAAAUCCCCGGGCUUAACCUGGGAACUGCAUUUGUGACUGCAUAGCUAGAGUACGGUAGAGGGGGAUGGAAUUCCGCGUGUAGCAGUGAAAUGCGUAGAUAUGCGGAGGAACACCGAUGGCGAAGGCAGUCCCCUGGACCUGUACUGACGCUCAUGCACGAAAGGCGUGGGGAGCAAACAGG
rnacentral:rRNA from 1 species